ACACUGCUGAGGAGUCCCGAAAUGGGACGAAACUGCCGUCCAGUGU
rnacentral:hammerhead_ribozyme from 1 species